CGUACAUGCACACAUCCAUCAUUGUACUUCUAUAAAUCAUCAGAAGAAGGUAAUUUUGUCCUAUCUAGAUACCAUAUAAUGCCAACAGACACAUUCUUCUCUCCUAUGUCAAUCCAAGUACAAUAAAUACUGCAGUAGCAAAGGCGCCGGGGUACCAAAAGUACCAUAGAAACAACAGCUAUGGGAGCAGAGAGCGAGUUCUGACACCGUAGAAUAUGUCUGCGGGGUCAUCAAGAACCUAAUUCGCGCGGAUUUUUA
rnacentral:lncRNA from 7 species